AGAAAUCACAAAAAAUACACAAUGAAACUGCAGCAAAUAAAACACAGAAUCGAGAGACACUCACCGCCAGUGCUUGAAUGUGUGUGUCAGUGCUGUUUUUAUUCCGCUUUUUGUAUCGGCGCUCUUUUAUUCUGUCUUCACUCUGCUUGUAUUUACCAUCACGAACUAGCUCCGCUUUCAUUCUGCGCCCUCCGCUCGAGUUGUUCGUAUUGGACACGAGCGCGCAGAAAGCCACGCCCACCGUGACGUCCCAUGAUAUGGUAAUUACUCGAGCGCGAGGCGGCGUGCUGUUGGUGCCCGUCGAGGGAAAAGAUGCGUGUUGAGCGGUGCUUGAGUCACCUAGCAAGAAGAAUGAGUCCCCAGACGAGCAGCUGCAGCUCAAUGAACACAACCGAAGACAAAUCAGAAGUGACAUCCUGGCUGUAAGAUUGCAUGACAUCAUGCUUGAGGGAAGACAGAUUAAUAUGUCAAAUCUGAAUCCGAAGG
rnacentral:lncRNA from 1 species